rnacentral:rRNA from 1 species
AAGUGGGGAUGACGUCAAGUCAGCAUGGCCCUUACGUCCGGGGCUACACACGUGCUACAAUGGCCGGUACAAAGGGUUGCGAAGCCGUGAGGUGGAGCGAAUCUCAAAAAGCCGGCCUCAGUUCGGAUUGGAGGCUGCAACUCGCCUCCAUGAAGUCGGAAUCGCUAGUAACCGCAGAUCAGCUACGUUGCGGUGAAUACGUUCCCGGGCCUU